ensembl:lncRNA
AGUUUAAAUCUGGGGAAAUCAAACAUGCAACAAUUAGUGAACACUGACGACUAAAGGUUGUCCAUCAAAUGUCCAUCAAAGAUUGAUAAAUCAUAAAACAUUAUACAGCACAACACAACAUACUAAUAAUCUAAUUAAUAGACUUCUAUAUUUAUACAAUAUAUAAUCCCUCUAUAUCCCUUUCAGUAGGUCUACGAUACAAAAUCCCUCUUUGUAAUUGUUAAAUGUUCUUGUUCCAAGAACAGUAGAAAACAGUAAUGAGGUACAGCAGAAAUACAGUAAUGAGGUACAGUAGAAAUACAGUAAUGAGGUACAGUAGAAAUACAGUAAUGAGGUACAGUAGAAAUACAGUAAUGAGGUACAGUAAAAAUACAAUUGUGACGUAGAGUAAAUUUCAACAUUACUCACUGUGUUAAUCAUGUGGUGUUUAACACUAGAGGGAGAACAAACACCAGGGAGGGAGGGUAGAGAGAGGGUAGAGGGAGAACACACACCAGGGAGGGAGGGUAGAGAGAGGGGAGGGAGAGAACAAACACCAGGGAGGGAGG